rnacentral:ribozyme from 1 species
GUCCAACAUGAUAAUUGCCUUCACGUGGCGUUGGGUGUUAGUAGAUAAUUUAUUAUCGAACCAGAAUUAUC